GAGUUUGAUCGUGGCUCAGGAUGAACGCUGGCGGCGUGCCUAAUACAUGCAAGUCGAGCGAACAGACGAGGAGCUUGCUCCUCUGACGUUAGCGGCGGACGGGUGAGUAACACGUGGAUAACCUACCUAUAAGACUGGGAUAACUUCGGGAAACCGGAGCUAAUACCGGAUAAUAUAUUGAACCGCAUGGUUCAAUAGUGAAAGACGGUUUUGCUGUCACUUAUAGAUGGAUCCGCGCCGCAUUAGCUAGUUGGUAAGGUAACGGCUUACCAAGGCAACGAUGCGUAGCCGACCUGAGAGGGUGAUCGGCCACACUGGAACUGAGACACGGUCCAGACUCCUACGGGAGGCAGCAGUAGGGAAUCUUCCGCAAUGGGCGAAAGCCUGACGGAGCAACGCCGCGUGAGUGAUGAAGGUCUUCGGAUCGUAAAACUCUGUUAUUAGGGAAGAACAAAUGUGUAAGUAACUAUGCACGUCUUGACGGUACCUAAUCAGAAAGCCACGGCUAACUACGUGCCAGC
rnacentral:rRNA from 1 species